UAGCGACAGGCCUAACACAUGCAAGUCAGGGGCGAGCGACAAGGAAGCAAUACUGAGGUGGCGACCGGCGGCACGGGUGAGUAACACGUAUGCAACCUAGCCUCGUAAGCGGGGAAGUAAACCCGUUCGAAAGACGGACUAAUACCGCAUAAUACUAAAUUACUGCAUGGUAAUUAUUUAAACAUUUAUGGCUUACAGAUGGGCAUGCGCAUGAUUAGCUAGUUGGAGAGGUAACGGCUCCCCAAGGCAACGAUCAUUAGGGGUUCUGAGAGGAAGGUCCCCCACACUGGUACUGAGACACGGACCAGACUCCUACGGGAGGCAGCAGUGAGGAAUAUUGGUCAAUGGACGAGAGUCUGAACCAGCCAAGUCGCGUGCAGGAAGAAUGUCCCUAUGGAUUGUAAACUGCUUUUGCAGGGGAAUAAAGUGCAUCACGUGUGAUGUUUUGUAUGUACUCUGCGAAUAAGGAUCGGCUAACUCCGUGCCAGCAGCCGC
rnacentral:rRNA from 1 species